UCUUUGACAGAGCUGUAUGCCACUUCCUGCCAAGUCAGUGUCUUUAUUUUUCUUUCUCUUCCUCUCUCUUUUCUCCCAUUAGGAAAGUAAAUGCUUGGUAAACAUGGCCAGCUGUGAACCCUCUCAUCCCAUCUGCUCCGCAGGGACGGCCAGGCCUUCGGCACUUAACUAUAAUGCAUUCAUUGUAACUUAAAGCAGCAGUAUUAGGAGGAUGAUUAAGACUUACCAAAGACUAACCAAAUGUCUGUUUGUAUUCAGGUAUACGAAUGUUCUGUGAACAGCCGACCGCAGUCGAGAGCUGUUGAAUUGAAUGGCAUCCCACCGCUGGGAUCUCCAGAAACAAGUGUGUCCCAUGAUGAUAAGGUGCCUGUGGUUAUCAGCUGAAUCUAAAGAGGAUAGUGUGAGACUAUCUGAAAUGUGUGAGAGCUAAAAUACAGCUUCAGAGACCUCAGGCUAGCAGCAAACUUCUGAACUUGUCUCCUCCGAAGAUGACUUCAAUCUGCCAUGGACAAACUCCUGAGGAUUAGGAGCUUCGCUGUUAUUGACUGAAUCCAUUCAGCAUCUGGUGAUGAAAAGCUUAGAUAAGCUCAGCUGCCUUUGAAAUGAACACAACCAAGACGGCAAAAACGUGGUUUCACGAGUGACAGACGGAGAUUAUAAGGGAAGAGAGUAUUAACUCUGCCAAGAAUGGAGGGAACAAAAGGAAGUCCGUGAGAGGAAACGACUUCCGAUCCUCUUUAAUUAAUGGCAGAGUCUCAGGUAUCACAGGAACUGACUCGCAUUAAAAAAAAAGUGAGGCUGCUCUCAGCCCAGCUUACGCACAGACGGCCAUUCAGCACCAUGGACAACAACCAAACACACAAGCACAUUGUACGUGAUGAGCAGGAAUUGGGCAUGUCUGGAAGAGCCUCUUGAGCAAGCGUUUCAGCUGUCCAGAGCUCAUCAGAAAAGACUGAAAAGCAUCAAGAUGGCAUUGUGCAAUGCUUAAAGGAUAACUUGGAUGUUUCAGCUCCUGUUAUCUGUAGAUGCUUGUCUUCAGCUGCACGACUGGAAUGUGUUUCCUUUCACAUCAUCUCUUCUUCAGCAUUUGAACCAAAACAAGAAUGCAUGGAUUUCUUUUACGUUUUAUAAAGUAGCAGUGAUGUUUUUUAUGUGAAUGGGAACAGAAAGACCUUCAAAAUGUUUUUAAGGAAAUUUCUCUGAACAACCAUAACAUUGUCCUGAAAUACUAGGAAGAUCUUGACAGUGAAUGGAAACGUGAGAAAAUGAAAUUGUCACACAAAAUAAGUAAAGCUGUCAGAAAUAUAAGAGCGUGUCUUUUGACCCUGUGGACAGGACAUUCAGAAAUGUCAUUUCCACCACAUCUAAAAUGAUGAAUCGUGUUUCACUGCAUUUUGUGGUGAAAUUACAUCCUUAACAUUUUUAGAACUUAUUUAUGUUUCUAAGGUUAAUUUCAUAGCUAGCAUUUUAUAUAUUCUAAAUUAAAGAUUUAUUAUUUAAUUUAAAAAAGACAGUUUGACCGGAAAUGAUGCACAAAAAAUGAUUCUGUUCAAAAGUGAUAUUUACAUUGAUUUUUUAUUUUAUUUUAUCAUGCAUAUCACCUCAUAUUUGAUCUCAAGCAUGCUCAUCACUGACAGUCUUUGGUAAUUUAGAAAGAACACAAUAUUUGAAUUUUUUUUAUAAAAUUUUGGUCAAAUUGAGUGACAAUUGAGAAACUAUUGAGUGACAAUAGUUUUUGGAAAAAGUGUCAAUCAUUUUUACACAAUAAAUAUUGUAAUGUUUAUUUGACUUUCUCACUAUCAAUAUAUUUUGAUGUUUGUCUGUUUUACAUUUAUUCAUUUAGCAGACUUUUAUUUAAAAUCACAAUGUUACAAUGUGCUUUUUUGUAGUACUGUAAGUGUAAGAACGUGGUUAAUAUUAUUUAUAUAUUUGACUUGUGUUUGCAAUUUGCAAAGUUUUAGUUUCCGAUAGUAAUUGCUCGAAAUUU